rnacentral:rRNA from 1 species
GAGAGUUUGAUCCUGGCUCAGGAUUAACGCUGGCGGCAUGCCUAACACAUGCAAGUCGAAUGUGCCCCUCACUCUGUUCCGCAGUAAUUUUAUUAUUGGGCGAUAGAGUGAGGGACAACAUGGCAGACGGCUGAGUAACACGUGGGUAUCUACCCUUGGGUCGGGUAUAACUCCGCGAAAGCGGAGAUAAUUCCCGAUAUGUCCCGCCAAUUUAGGGCUGGUGUAUCAAAUUUACCAAGCUAUUUAUGUUUAAUGUAAAAUAACUUGGUAGAUGAUCUAUACGAACCUCAAAUUGGCGGGAUGAAAGAUUUAUCGCCCGAGGAGGAACCUGCGUCCGAUUAGCUUGUUGGUGGGGUAAUGGCCUACCAAGGCUAUGAUCGGUAACUGGUCUGAGAGGAUGACCAGUCAGACUGGGACUGAGACACGGCCCAGACUCCUACGGGAGGCAGCAGUGAGGAAUUUUCCACAAUGGGCGAAAGCCUGAUGGAGCAAUGCCGCGUGCAGGAAGACGGCCUUCGGGUUGUAAACUGCUUUUAUAAAUGAAGAUUAUGACGGUAAUUUAUGAAUAAGGACCUGCUAACUACGUGCCAGCAGCCGCGGUAAUACGUAGGGUUCGAGCGUUAUCCGGAUUCACUGGGCGUAAAGAGUUCGUAGGCGGAUGAACAAGUCUACUGUUAAAGACCCUAGCUCAACUGGGGGAAAGUGGUAGAAACUAUUUAUCUAGAGAGUGGUAGAGGCAGAUGGAAUUCUCGGUGUAGGAGUUAUAUCCGUAGAUAUCGAGAAGAACACCAAAGGCGUAGGCAGUCUGCUGGGCCAUCUCUGACGCUGAGGAACGAAAGCGUGGGGAGCGAACGGGAUUAGAUAAAUCCGUCACCGCUCGUAAAAUAUAGUGACAAAGGGUGUCCCUCUUGAUGGCAACAUCAAGAUGAGCAUUCAGCUGUAUCGGGGGAACCCCAUAACAUAUGAGCUACCGGCUCGUUAUGGACAAUCCCGAGGGAAGUCCUCCGAAUUAUAUCGGAGUGACCCCGUAGAGACUAUGAAGUUGAUUGUGACAGAGGGUGUAAAAUUAUUCGCUUAUGAACAAAUACACACCCUUGUCUGAAAAUACCCAAGCCAUAAUUCUGGGAUCGGUGUUAGGCGAUGGAUCGCUUAAGCUUUAUCCUGGUUAUGCAAAUGCUCGUUUUUCUUUUCGUCAUAGCGAAAAACAGUCUGACUAUUUCUGGUGGAAAGCCAACCAAUUGCAAGAGAUAUCAGGCAAAAAGUUCGCUUGGCGACAAAGUAAAAAUGGCAAAGAUGGAUGGGGUACAGUUAAAUAUCGGUUUUGCAGCCAGGCUCUGCCGGCUCUGACCGAGAUGUUUAAGUUGACCCAUUCCAAAAAUAAAUUCCUAAUUAGAAGGAAAUGGCUGAAUUUAUUGACCCCGUUAUCGUUAGCCAUUUUGUGGCAGGAUGACGGAUCAAUUAUCGCCAAUGGUAGAAAAGGAGUAGUCUGUACUGAUGGUUUUACUAAGCCAGAGGUACAACUGCUUCAACAAUACCUCAAGGUAGUUUGGCGCAUCCACACAGUCGUGGGGCUAAAAAACAAGCAAUCUAAUCAGUUUCGAUUGUGGUUUCGGUCUACCGAACAACUGCAAUCAUUCUUGCGCAUCAUCUUACCGCAUAUCGCGGUAGCACAGAUGAUACCCAAGUUUAUCCUUCUGUAUCACGAUCAUCAACUUCAACAACGCUGGAUCUCUGAAGUCGCGACUAUUUCAGGUUUUCCCCUGAAAACAGUAGUUGAGUACUAUGACUUAAAAAAAAGUAAAUGGAAAAACUACCGAGAGUCCGAUGCAGAGAAUGAUAUAGUCCAAUCGGUGUAGUAAUAUACUGUUUGACCCCGGUAGUCCACGCCCUAAACGAUGGAUACUAGGCAUAGGUGGCUUCGGUCCCCUCUGUGCCGCAGCUAACGCAUUAAGUAUCCCGCCUGGGGAGUACGAGCGCAAGCUUAAAACUCAAAGGAAUUGACGGGGACCCGCACAAGCGGUGGAGCACGUGGUUUAAUUCGAUAACAAGCGGAGCACCUCACCAAGGCUUGAAUCCUACUGAAAGCUUGCAGAAAUGCGAGCCUCCUUCGGGCAGUAGAGACAGGCGCUGCACGGUUGUCGUCAGCUCGUGUCGUGAGAUGUAUGGUUAAGUCCAGUAACGAGCGCAACCCCCAUGUGGUGUUAAAUUUUUCACCACAGACUGCCCUGGUUAACAGGGAGGAAGGUGGGGAUGACGUCAAAUCAGCGUGGCCUUUAUGCCUUGGGCGACACACAUGCUACAAUGGGCGAGAACAAUGGGUUGCAAUACCGCGAGGUGGAGCUAAUCCCAAAAAAUCGCCCCCAGUUCAGAUUGCAGGCUGCAACUCGCCUGCAUGAAGCCGGAAUCGCUAGUAACCGCAGAUCAGCCAUGCUGCGGUGAAUACGUUCUCGGGUCUUGUACAAAAUAAAUGCGCCUGGCAGCGCAUCGGACUAGUUGGUGGAAAUCCAACUGAGCUUUCUUAUCACGAAAGCACAUAGUUGAGAACAAGGCUUCUUUCGUAAGAAAAAGCCUGAAGGGUUCAACAUACAAAUGACAGUCUUAUGCUAAAAGAGUGUUUCGACCUUGUCGUGUACACAAGGGAAGAAAUUUUGAAAAGCUCGCAUAGGAAUGCCGGAAAUAGCCCGAUGAGUGACCCAGGGAGAUCCUAUUGGCAAGGAGUAGUUGGUUAGCGCCGAUAGGAAGUCAGCUGAUCCCAUAGUAAUUUGCUUUAUAAUUAAAGUAGAUGAAGGGGUGAACUCUAUGUUAGAUCCACAUUACAUUGUCGGUUUCGUUGAUGGGGAAGGAUGUUUUAGCAUCACUAUCAAUAAAAACGGCGAACAUUUACCGGAAGUCAGAUUGAUAUUUGAGAUCGAACUUCGGGAAGAUGAUGAAGCUAUUCUUCAGCAAAUUAAGAAUAUACUCGGUUGUGGCAAUAUUUAUCAGUUGGAUUACAAACGAUAUGAUAAUUGGCGACCACAUGUAAAGUAUAAAGUCAGUAAUUUCUCGGAUAUAGCUGGAAAAAUAAUUCCAUUUUUCCAACGUUAUCCAUUGCAGGCCAAGAAGCAAAAGCAAUUCGAGAAAUUCUGCCGGGUGGCCGAGAUGAUCCGCAGUAAAGAACAUCUGACACCAGCAGGAAUAGCAAAAAUUAAAUCAAUUAGAUAUAGAGACUCGCUGGAUGCGUUAGACGCGCACGUCCAGUGGGGAGCGAUAGAAACUACCUAAUCGCAAUCACCGCCCGUCACACCACGAAAGUCAGGGACGCCCGAAACUCUUCUCUACGAAGAACUAAGGUGAAACUGAUGAUUGGGGUGAAGUUUAACGGCUUCCCAUGCGAGUAAUCGCAUGGUAAAAUCUAACUAUAUCGGUGAACUCCUAACCUACCAUGUGGUGGGAGGACAACGCCGAGGGAAGUUAGGCUAGUCACUAUUAGUGAUGAAGAUUUGCUAAAUCCAAGGAAGCAUAUCCUCCUUCGUUCUGUAUUUACAGAACUUCGGACGGACAGGCAAAUUGCCUUAACCCCGUAGAGACUAUACGUUAGCUCCAUUGAAAAAUGGAUGAAGACAUAGUCCGAUACUCUUAGUAAUAAGAGAUUAACAAUCUGCGUAACAAGGUAUCCGUACGGGAACGUGCGGAUGGAACACCUCCUU